UUCAGCAGCCCACUUCUGGGAUACCAGCAGGAAAUGGACAGUGGAGCACAGGACUAUGCAACGUUUGUGACGACAUGACUAUCUGUUGAAGAAAUAUUCUUCACAUCAAGGCAACUAUGCAUCUGGAUUCAGCAGCCCUGAAUAUUUUUAGCCUGCAUACAAUGCAAAACUUUUGAAAUGCAAGAUUUUCAUAUUCAUUUAAACAUUUCAUGCUUGUGCAAAGAUUUGCAAAUGAGACAGUAAUAAACUAAAUGCAAUGUAACUGAGUAAACAGCAAUGUUUAUGUAUGAUUACAAAGAGAAUUUAAUGAGGUUUAAACUGUUUUGUGUAAAUUGUGACAAUAAUAGCUUUGGCUCAAAAUUAUUUGACCGUUUAAAGUCCACUCUGGAUGCCAGGCUUGUUGUAAUGAGAGGUAGCACUUUCUCUUGUAGCAGGUUGUGGGCUAAGGUUUAACACUUGGAUCUGAACAUGUGAUUUACGAUGAAAUCAGAGCUGAACGUGCUCUAAGAGGCCUUCAUCUGUUCCCUCACACGCUGUUUUCCAAUCACAUGGACAAUUUGAAGAAAAGCCAAGGCAAUUUCCAUCUCCAGUGUCUUGUUCAAUGUUUACAACAAAAACCAUCAAUACAGAUUUUCUGCCAACUUGUUUCAUCAAUGUUUCUGGGCUAUUAUUUUAUCACAUUUUCUACAUCAGUGUUUCUCAAAGCUUUCGUUGAAGCAUUCCUUACCAUAGAGAUAGGUAAUAAUGGACCCCCUCAUCUCAAUUAUCACACCAUACAACACAGUGAGUCAGCAUCUACAAUUGUGGUCGCAUUGCUGAAAAUUGAUGCUUUAAGUUGUGAGAAGCACUUGUGAAGUUUGUUGUUUCUGCAAAAAUCACAAGGCUGAGUCAUGAGGGUGGGGGGGUAUAUGUUAAGCUAGAUAUGCUUGCUUCUGCAAAAAUCGCAAGGCGGAAUCACGUGGGUGUAUACCAAGGAAUAACUAACGGUAAAGGGAGAUGGUCGACUGGUAGAAACAGAUGAAUUGACAUGACAGUUGCAAUUGUCAUACACAUAGGGAGUUAGUAUGGACAAGGUACCCAAAUAAGACCCAGUGUUGCGUCAGCAAAAUCAUAAAACUCAGCUAUCAAGGGGGGUGGUUACAUGUCAACAACAGGCCUCAGACAGAUGUGGUAAACCGAUUAGAUUAGCCAUUGCAAAGAGAAAUACAAAUAGCACGUAUGAGGUAAAAGGGGAGUACUGAGAGACUCAACUGAACUGUAUAAAUUGUAAUGCGACCCCCUGAUUGGGUGUGACUACAUUGUGGUCACCCGGCUUGCAAGACCGUGUGAAUAAAGACUGCUUCAGAA